rnacentral:rRNA from 1 species
UACGGCCGCAAGGUUAAAACUCAAAUGAAUUGACGGGGGCCCGCACAAGCGGUGGAGCAUGUGGUUUAAUUCGAUGCAACGCGAAGAACCUUACCUGGUCUUGACAUCCACAGAACUUUCCAGAGAUGGACUGGUGCCUUCGGGAACUGUGAGACAGGUGCUGCAUGGCUGUCGUCAGCUCGUGUUGUGAAAUGUUGGGUUAAGUCCCGCAACGAGCGCAACCCUUAUCCUUUGUUGCCAGCG